AGAGUUAUUUAAGCAAUAGCACAGAAAUGAUCUAGCAAGUCCUUGAUCCUCAUUGCUUUUAUGGAUGAUCAUUUCACAGUGUGCAUCAAUGCAUGGGAUAAGCCUUAUAUAAGUAAAUGUUUCAUAUGCAUGUCCAACAGGAUUUCAAAUAUUGAGAUUGGCAUAAGUAAUUAUGAGAAGAUGACAGCAGUAAGGAAGAUGUUCAAAUGCCACCCUGAGGAAGUGCUAUCCAUCAACACAGAGAGCAGGGAUUACUACCUCAUUGCGAAGGACAGGGAACAAGUUGAGGACUGGUUCACUUCCCUAUCUUUAGCCCACAUGGAGGCAAAAGACGAUGGAUGCUCUGCUCAGGUGGAAGAUCCUGCAGACGACAAGAAAAGGCCUCACUCAGAUCCUGGCUCUCGUGGUCUCCCUAAACAGCGGCCUCGCCACAGUUUACCAGCACCUCUUCUUCCAAGUCUGGUGAGCAUAGCUAGCGGGGCCUGGAACGCCUCUUAUAUA
rnacentral:lncRNA from 1 species